AACACAACAACUCGUUUUCUUUCUAAUAAACAAAGACUAAAAGCCUUUCAACUCCAAACAACAAACCUAAAUUCCCAAAUCAAAAAAAAAUAAUAAUUAAGGUUCUGCUCUGCCUCGGUUGAUCCACAAUCGCUGCUACCACAAUAUGCCGGAUGCCCUCUAAAUCUCUGUUGUGUGUGCUCUUUUUCCCGUAGAAGUUAGACCAUUCUUCCUUCUUCAAUUUUUCUAUUCUAAUUUUGUGUUCAUGUUUUUCUCUUAGUGAUCCACUCAUCCUAAUUUCUUGUUUUUAGUUUUUUAGUGAGACCAACUUGCAUUUACAUAGGUACUACUUAGAGAUAAACUUAUCAUUAUAUUUUAUAUAAUAAGCAAGAUUUGCAAACAAAUGAAAGCUGAAUCACUAUUUGAAUCACUAUUUGGAUCACUAUUUAGAAUCCACUGCGUUCCAAACCUGGCUCCGCCUCUGUCCAAAGGGUAGGUCUGACUCUGUAUGUAAUAUGUUGGCCGUGCUAUAAUUAGAAUAGCAUAUCAAGUAAUAGAGUUGAUAUAAGUAUAACAUGA
rnacentral:lncRNA from 1 species